ensembl:lncRNA
CUGCAGGCGUCCCGAGGGGCAGGAUCGUCUCCGGAGCCGACCGUGCCAGGGCUGGGCCACGGAAGGCGGAGCUGCAGCAUGUGGAGGCCCUUUGUGGACAGGUGCACAGGCCCAUCUCUCUCCGAGGCGCUACCUGCGGUUUACUGGACGUUUAUUAGAAGCCCACGCAAUAUCGUGAAGCACCUGCAGGCAAUAAAACCCUUUACAUGUGUGAGGCCUUGAGGAAAUUAACGGCUCCUCCCUGGGGAUGCAUAUUUCGUGAAGAUGUUUAUUACAGAUGAAGUGCUCCCGGGGUGGAACAUUAACAAGUUGUAGAGUGAUAAAAGGAUUUUUAUCCUUUUUCAGUGACAGAGGUAGGAAGAACGCUUUAACGGAAUCUAUAAAAGGCCCACUUCCUAAUGAAUUUUCUUUACUCUUUAUUAAUAGGGUUGGCUGAGCGGAGUCAGGGUCCUUGGAUGGCUGGACCACUGGACAAGGGGAAUGGAGCCGACUGGAGGGGGUGCGGGGCUUGGAUGCUGGACAGAGAAUGCGUGAGGAAGGUCUGGGUUCGAAUUCCAGGCACUGAAGACCACGGGGAGCCUGGGCGGGUGAUGAACACGUUCUGCCCCAGGAAAUCAUUUGGAGGCCGCUCCAGGUGAUGGGGUGAGUCAGGCCAAAAGGCAGGUUCCAAGCCCCUCUUUUUAACCCCCUGUUCCCCGCUCCGGCCUGCAGGCCAUUACCGAGAUGAAAGCCGGGAGAAUGCCUUUGGCCCAGGACUGCGGAAUCUAAUUGAAUUAUAUGAACGCAGUUAAACGUCGGCUUCAGAGAGGCAGGCCUCGCUUUCAAGACUGGAUGCUUCAGGAGUUAAUGGGCUAUUUGAACAAUAUAGGCCAAGAGCCGAACACAGCCCUUCUCCCUACUGCGGUCACUGACGUUCCAAGAGGCCAGUCUGAUGGCAUCAGGCCCUGCUGAACAACUGCUGUGGCUCCCCACUGCCCUCAGAGGAGAGUUCAGACUCCGUCUUGGCUUCCGACGUUCUUCCUGUUGCCUCGAGCCUCAUCUCUCACUCUCAUCUUCACGCCUCCUGGGUCCCUCCUCUGCUUGUUGUGGACCGUCAGCCAGGAAUGCCUCCUCCUAACCCCUAGGGACCCCGCUUCUCCCUUACCUGCCAGGCCCAGUUCAAAUGCAGCCUCCUCCAGGAAGCCUUCCUUUUCUGCCUGGAUCAGAUUCCUGUGACUGUGUAUAUGUCUUAUCAUUGGCCCCCUCCCUCCACUAGGCCAUGAAGACCUUGAGGGCAGGAUCCAUGUUCAUUAUUAUCAUAAAAAGAAGUUUAACACACUACUGGUUCCCACUUGUCAAGCAUGUCCUGAACGCCAGGUGCUUUACAAGCAUUAGCUCAUUAAACCUCCGCAGCACCCCGUUUUAUUGUCCCCAUUUUACAGAUGAGGAAACUGAGGCUCAGAGACAGGAAGUUACUUGCUCAAGAAUCUCCAGCUGUCCCAUUGACCAGCUGAGUGGCCUCGCUUCACCUCCCUGACAACAGCGUCUACAUCACGGGGUUCGGGCAGUGGUGUGCUGCAAUCAGUUCAUACUGGCUCUCAAGAGGUGCUUGUGAAAUUUUCAGGAAUUAAUUUUGUGAGCUGCUUGUUAAAAGCAGUCACUGUUAAAAAUAAAGUUAUACAAACUUACCAUUCAAUAAAUGGCCUUAAAAUUAAAAGUAACAAAUACUCCGAACUCAUCAAUUCCUAUCAAUUCACUUCACUUUGCCAUCAUCGGCGCUCGAGGUUGUCUGCGUCUAUUGUGUCCGUGUGGGGGAAACACCAUAGGAUGGCGUGGACACCACCCCCUGCACAUCACCACCUACUGCCCAUCUCUUCCCAGCUCCACCUUCGGUGACAUCAGGAAGGUAGUUUGAAAUCACCCACGGUCGGAGUAUUUACAUCAUGGAAAUUGGCAAACUCCACGAAUCAGGGUUGGUUGUUUGUUCUCCAGAGAGCUGGUUGUGAGACUGGUACCAGCACCCCGCGGGAUUAUAGAGAAGAGUCGAUGAAGAAAUCUACCUAGAGCUCUGAGCACUCAAUUAAACAUUGCUUUGAUGAAGACUAUGAGUGGUGGUGAUGGCAACAAUGCCAAUGAUGUCAUGCUCCUCAUGCUUCAACCCCCAAACCUCUCUCUCCAGCCCAGGCCUGCCCUCCUGAGCUCCAGACCCACCUGGCCCCAGCUUCCUGGCCACUUCCACUAGGAUGCCCAAGAGCCCAUUGGACUUGACACGUCCAGAACAGAAUCUCCCGUCCAGGACUCCCCAGCUCAGUGAGUGGAAUAUUCACCCCCCAGCAGCUAGGCCAAAAAGAAAGUUAAAAAUCAUAUGUACCAAUUCUAUCAUAUAUUAGGAAUAUACAUAUAUACAUAUACAUAUGUGUGUAUAUGUAUACAUAUGUAUAUGUAUGUGUGUAUAUAUGCGUGUGUGUAUAUAUGCGUGUGUGUGUGUAUAACAUCAGGUGGCUUUACUGGCUUGGAGGAAAAUAAAGCAGGAAGAGGACAGAGAGUAACUGAGGGG